AUUAUGAGGAAUCAUAAUGGUCAGAAUGGGAACAAACUGACCAAAGGGCUUACUGGAUGAAGCUAACCAGAUAGAGUGAGACCAGAGAGAAGAUGUGGCCCAGGAAGUCAUAACCUCCUGUUCCUGACUUGGACUUUCUCCUUUGUCCUGUGUCUGGAGACUUCUUGGAAGCUGAAGCACACAAAUAGCUACAGCAAACCUGAGGAAUGGACAUGAAUAGACUGGCUUUGGGGAACCUGCCAGCUUGGCUGUGUGGCCAAGCUUCUCCAUCUUGUGGCCCAUUGAUGAUGAUAGCUCUGAAAGCUUUGAAAAGCUUGCAAAUACUCAACUUCAGGAAUAAAAUCACCUCUGAGACCCUCACCUGAAGGCAGGAUCUUUCCUGCAGCUUCGGGUCUUCCCA
rnacentral:lncRNA from 1 species